UACGUAGGGUGCAAGCGUUGUCCGGAAUUAUUGGGCGUAAAAGACUCUGUAGGCGGUUUGUCGCGUCUGCUGUGAAAUUUCGGGGCUCAACCCCGAACUUGCAGUGGGUACGGGCAGACUAGAGUGUGGUAGGGGAGACUGGAAUUCCUGGUGUAGCGGUGAAAUGCGCAGAUAUCAGGAGGAACACCGAUGGCGAAGGCAGGUCUCUGGGCCAUAACUGACGUGAGAAGCGAAAGCAUGGGGGAGCGAACAGGA
rnacentral:rRNA from 1 species